rnacentral:rRNA from 1 species
CAAUAGCGUAUAUUAAAGUUGUUGCGGUAAAAAAGCUCGUAGUUGGAUUUCUACCGAAGAUAGCCGGUCGGGUCUUCGACCUUGUAUCUGGUUUUGUCUUUGGUAUCCUCAUAGGGAACGUUUCUGCGCUUUAUUGCGUGGUGCGGUAUCUAUGACUUUUAUUUUGAGGAAAUUAGAGUGUUCACGGCAGGCAAACGCCUUGAAUAUAUUAGCAUGGAAUAAUAACAUAGGAUCUUCGUCCUAUUUUGUUGGUUUCUAGGGCUAAGAUAAUGAUUAAUAGGGAUAAUUGGGGGCAUCUGUAUCAACGCGUCAGAGGUGGAAUUCUUGGAUUGCGUUGCGACAAACUACUGCGAAAGCAUUUGCCAAGGAUGUUUUCAUUGA